UGAAAUUUCAUCAUGACCUGACAUUGACCUCAAAUUGAAGGUCUUGAACUACUGAUCAUCUUUGCAGUUUAUAGUAGGUUGAUAUCUGUUACCUUUAAAAAAGAUAUACACACAAUACUAUACUUUUAAGAAUCAUCCCGUCGUAACUUUUGAACAGACAGUCGGACUCUUUUGAGGUCAGUGUAUAAAAUGUAGAGCUCGUUGAGAGGAACAUUUUAUACGCUGUAAGUAUGCAGCAAACUCUAAUCGUUUUCUUAAUAUGAAAGCUUGAAAUUGCAGCGUAAUUUUUUUUUGCACUCAGUGACCUUUGACCUUGGGUGCAAAUUAAAGGUCACAUGAACUUAAGAUUAUUGGUGUAGGUCCCAAGUCUUUACGACUUCCGGUUCUCGAGAUACAAUUUUUCAAAAAUUGUGUAUAUUUUUUCAAGGGAAAUAACUCCUUAUAAGGGUUAACAACAAAAUGAUUAUAUAUAUUAAUUAACAUUGCCAUCUGGUCUUGUACAUGUUGCCGUUUUCAAAUGGAUUCUAUCUUGAAUACUUUUUGAGAAAAAUGUAAAAGAAAGAAAUUGCUUCAAGGGGACAUAACUCUCAUAGGGAAUGAUGAAAUCUAGCUAUUGUCCAAAUAAGGUCAUAAUAUCUUCAAAAACAACGAGGGGGGGCCAUGUCGAAAAAAAAAACAAUAAAAGGGAGAUAACUUCUAAAGGGGAUGAUGAAAUACUCCACAGCCUCAUCUGGUAAUACUUCAUGAUGAGGUCUACCGAUAGUCCAUAUUUGGUCUUGAUAACUCCAAUAGAAACAAGGGGAGGCCAUGUUAAACAAAUGCUGGAUGAAAAAAAAAAAAAAAAAAAAAAAAAAAAAAAAAAAAAAAAAAAAACAGGAGAAAAACAAUAAGGUCUUUCCUCGCGGAGAGGAAAGACCUUAAGAAUGUA
rnacentral:lncRNA from 1 species